UGAGUAAUAUUGGUCAAUGGGCGAGAGCCUGAACCAGCCAAGUAGCGUGCAGGAUGACGGCCCUAUGGGUUGUAAACUGCUUUUAUAUGGGAAUAAAGUGAGGGACGUGUCCCUUAUUGCAUGUACCAUCCGAAUAAGGACCGGCUAAUUCCGUGCCAGCAGCCGCGGUAAUACGGAAGGUCCAGGCGUUAUCCGGAUUUAUUGGGUUUAAAGGGAGCGUCGGCUGUUUGUUAAGCGUGUUGUGAAAUGUAAGAGCUCAACUUUUAGAUUGCAGCGCGAACUGGCAGACUUGAGUGCGCACAACGUAGGCGGAAUUCAUGGUGUAGCGGUGAAAUGCUUAGAUAUCAUGACGAACUCCGAUUGCGAAGGCAGCUUACGGGAGCGCAACUGACGCUAAAGCUCGAAGGUGCGGGUAUCGAACAGG
rnacentral:rRNA from 1 species